GUGGCCAGAGCUCAGUGGUAGAGCACGUGCUUAGCACGCACGAGGUCCUGGGUUCAAUCCCCCGUAUCUGCG
rnacentral:tRNA from 1 species